UUUUAAGAUUUAAUUUAAGUUAAUUGAUUAAUUAAUUCAUUAAUUUAUAUGGAGUUUUUUAAAUUAUUUGUUUAUCCAGUAAUUUGUAUUAAUUUUAAUUUAAAUUUAUUUUUGAUUUAGUUAUUGAAUUUAUAAUAGACAUAAAUUGUGCCAGCAUUCGCGGUUAUACAAUUUAUUAAAGUUAAUUUUUUAUUAGUUUAAUAUAACUAUUUAAAUUUUUAAAUUUAAUAUUGUAAUAUUUAGGUGGAAUUUGUAUUUUAUAGUAAUUUUUGUUAUUUAUUUUUAAGAAAUUUAUCUAAUAAACUAGGAUUAGAUACCCUAUUAUAAUUUAUGUAAAUUUUUUACUUUGAAUAGUAUUAGUUAUGUUCUUUAAAGCUCAAAGGAUUUGGCGGUAGAAUAUCUUUUUAGAGGAACCUGUUGAUUAAUUGAUAAACCACAAUAGUUCAUACUUUAUUAAUUAUUUGUAUACCGCUAUAUUAUGGAAUGUCUUGUUAAGGAAUUUUCUUUAUCUUAGAGGAAUUAUAUUAGGUCAAGGUGCAGUUUUUAUUAAGUUUUUAUGGGUUACUUCAAUAUUUAAUUUGUAAGGAUUUUUUUAUUAUAUAAAUUUUGAAUUAGGAUUUAAAAGUAAAAUUGUAUUAAUUUGUUAAUUUGAAUUUUGCCCUAUUUUAUGUACAUAUCGCCCGUCACUCCUAUUUAAUGUAGGAUAAGUCGUAACAAAGUAACCCUACCGGAAGGUAGGGUUAGAAUUAUUAAAUUUU
rnacentral:ncRNA from 1 species